rnacentral:lncRNA from 1 species
UUUGGAUUUUGUAAGAAUACCAGCAGAAAGCUGUAUUUUCUCUUUUAGAUUACAGCUCAAAAACAUGUUUCUCCAUGGCAAAAAGCCAAAACAGAAUUGAUUUCACCCCAUGAAACAGAGCGAUGGCUUCAUUCACAGGAUUUGGACGUUAGAAACAGAGCCCUGAUGGACAUGAUGGGAGGUGUUCUGGAAGUCAAGAAGGAAGACAUUUUGAGAAUGGUGAUUCCUCAGCCUGCUUUCAUGAUAAAGCCUGAUGCACUGUGGACAGAAGAGGAAAGGAAACAAUUCAAAGAAUAUGAGAAAAAA